CGGGGUUGAUUCUCCUCUCGAUCAUAUCGCUCAGCAGUCGAGAGGCAUCACUCCAUCUUCCGUAAUUACAAAGGCAACUUAUGAGGGAGCUGUAGGUAACAACAUCAGGUCUAAUUCCUUUCUUCUCCAUUUCGUUGAACAGGUUGAGGGCAUCAUCCACAUGUUUGUACUUGCAAAGAGCAUCGAUGAUUGUGCUGUAGAUUACAACAUUUGGCUCUAUUUUCCCUUUCUCCAUCUUAUUGAGCAGAUUUAAAGCCAAAUCAAUAUCACCUCUCUUACAUAAUCCAUUUACUACAGCACCAUAUGUAACCAGAUUUGGUUGACAGCCUUUCACAGCCAUCCGAUCAACUAGCGCCACUGCUUCUGAAGCUUUGUUGUGGAGAAAAAGCCCAUGAAUCAACGUGUUAAAUGUAACAGUAUUAGGUUGAUAUCCCAUUUCGACCAUUUGAUCAACCAAAGCUACAGCCUCGGAUAUCCUCUUACCGUGACAGUAGCCAUUGAGCAGCGAAGAAAGCGUGACAAUAUCGGGGUCAUGACCGAGUUUAAUCAUCUUGCCAAGAACAGCUAAUGCAAGAGAGAUCUGAGAGCGUCGGCAGAAACAGUUAAUGAAAAUACUGUAAGUAUAGAGAUCAUGUGAAAUUCCCAAAUUUUGCAUCUGCUCGCCCAAAGAGAUGACAACAUCGAACUUGUUCAUCUUAGCAAUGGCACUCAACAAUUUACUGAAAUCAACAAUGGAAGGUAAAGGACGAGACUGUACCAUCUCACCGAACAGAUGAACAGCAUCGUCUAACUUCAAAUCGAGUAACGCAUUUCUACUCAAGUUAUCUCUGUAGUCAUAACUCGCACCAGAGAAAUUGACACCUCGAAGGGAAAACGACGGAGAAGCUUUCCUCAGGUGAACAAAUCUCUUCGCUGCCAAUGCAACCUCAUCUUCUUCGAUUGUGUUUUUUUUUUCUUCUCGAUCUUUGAAAAACCCUAAACUAACCUGAAGAUGGAGAUUUCACUUUUCAGCACCGUUGGAUCAUUUUUUGGUAUUUGACGGUCAAGAUUUCAUCAUCUCAUUUCCAAUUUUAAUAACCGACCGGUUCACUUUGACUUCUUUUUUUUCUUUAAACCCAGGGAAAAAACAGAGCAAUUACUAAAACAGAGCAGAACAUAGCUCAAAAAUAAACAAGAUUUAAACACUCAAUUCCGCUUUCCAUCUUUAAUUCGAGAAUGCAACCAAGAAGGUCCUCCAAUGGCGAGAUACGAUGUCAUACGACCCUCUCUAGUUACGCUGUGAGCAAUUUCUUUUGCUAUCGAGUUCGAUUUAGGCGAGGGGUGCUUAAAAGAUAAAGAAUUAACCAAUAAAUCCUGUCAUUAUACAACAAUAUUUAAACAAAAUAACUUAAAUGCAACAAGUACUCGUCAACCAAAAACUGAGAAGGACGAAUAUAAUUUAAAAAUGAGAACUCCAACUAUAUAUUUUGGCAUUUAUCAUACACAAAUCAAAUAAUUAUACAACAAUCAUAAAAAGAUCAAUGAUGCUUGAAAUUAUAUGUAUGGAAAACCAGAAGGAACUUCUCGUGAUUAGAAAUUAUUUCAUGUUUUUGCAAAGUCUGUUACGUGUACAAAUUUGAGUUGUGUUUCAGUGUUUGUGUAUAGCGUGCUGUCCGUGGAUCUUUUCUUUUGAGUGCUUUGCUUGACGAUUUUGUUUGUUGUGUUUGAGGUUUGUAUUGUAUUUAGUUUCGUGCAUGAUAAGUAUUUGUUAUGAGUGUUGAGUUUGUUGUUGUUGUUUUUUUUUGCUUUGUGGUGUUUUAGUGUAUUUGUAUUUUCCGAAAGUGUGGGACUUAUGCAUCAAAUUGAAGUAAGAGAGUGAGAGAGUACUUCACUUGUUCGCCUCCCCAGUAAUUUUUUCUUCUAUUGAUUUCACCCUACAAAGAGAUAUGAGAAGAGUGAAUAAAGCUUUGACUAAGAACAUACAAAGCUACAAACUGGAGAGAAAAAUAAACUUUCUAAAAAUCUACUCCAAGAGAAGUUACCUGAAUCAUCUAAGCAAUUAAGUUUAGUUAUCUACCAAUUCAGAGAUACUCAAUAGCGUAUAAACAUGAUAGAGAUCUGAGAUGCUACAGCAUGAGAAAGUAACUUACACAUCCAUGGAGAAUGAACUCUUGAAAAGAAGAUCAGGGGGUAAGAUAAGACAGACAACAGUUUGGGUUGAUAUAAUUCCGUGCAUCGAACGAUGAGAUCAGUGCUGCAAUGUAUUGAAGAGAGGAAAAUUAUAUACAGCGCUAAUAAUCUCCCAGGGUAGAGAAAUAUUGUAACAGAGUAGAGAAAAAAAAACCCGGUAAAUACCGAUUUAGCACCUAGAGAUACUAAACUCAAGCUGCUACACUGUUCUGGCCUUGGGUGCACCAUUUUAGCAACAAGUUUAUGUUCAUUUGCUUGUAUGAGCUCGCUCCUACCAAACUAAAAUAGGAAAUGAAACAUUAGAACCAAACUUUAAACAUGAAGUUUCAUACAAUCUCACAGUCACCUUACACAAUAACAAUGACAACCAAACGUCUUAGAAACCUUACAGAGAGUUAUACAAUGCGAGAUCUGCGUCAUGUGGCAGAAAACGCCAGCGAACUUUUUAACCUGUCACGUAGUAGAAAACUUUUGGUUAUACUAGAGAGCAAGGACUCUUGCCUUAUUGCACACAUGCAUUGUGGUAGAAAACAUACAAUCUAGUCUGAGAAAUAGCCCAUUGAAAGGCCUAUAUUGAUUCGACCCCUGUUUAAUCGAAUUUAACAACGUAUACAACAAAUAAUCAUUUAUUUAACGCCAUUUAUUUGAUCUUUAAUGAUUAGCCAAAGUUUUUUUAAUAAUUAGCCAUUACAUCAUGGUCAGAUUAUUCUUCAUUCACAAGUUUGAUCAAGCACAUACCUUCAGAAGAGUUCGGAGACAAAAGGUAAAUGCAGAACUCUAGCCUUCAGAAGAGAUCGGAGACAAAAGGUAAAUGCAGAACUCUAGAAAGCAUAUCCGUUUGUUCUCAGCAACUCUGACAAUCAAUGGUAAAAACCAAAAUCAAUUGUAGAUGUGUCCCAUUGUUAGACGGGUAUAAGUAGAGGAAGUAACUGUAACUACAUACACAAAAACAAACAAAGAUAAUAUAUACAGAAAACCCAUUUUUGAUGCACAUCCAUGAAAAAUGAACCCUCAAAACAAAGAGCAGUAAAAAGACAGCCAAAAGCAUGUCAGCAUUACUUAAUACCAUCCUCUGCAGAAAAAUCACGAUCAUUGCUGCUGCUAAAUACAUUGAAUCAGCGGCUUUUACUAACAACCAAUAAUCUAACAUGGAAAAGAGAGAAUCCGAUACCUUACAAAUACAAAAUGCAAUGGCUGUUUGGAGCUCACAGAUACUACCAACCUUAACACCAUUUUUUGAAACGAAGUUUUUGCGGAAGUCACUGCACACAAAUAUCACUUGACAAAAUCACUUCUAAUCAAAUGAAUCAAGCAAGAAAAUUAUGUUGCUGCAUCUUCUAUAAAGUAUUUUACUGGUGUAUGAUAAACGCCAAAAUAUUUCUUAAAACUAUUUCAAAUGAAAGAGUUCUUGUGAUUGGAUUAAUAAAAUGUUGAUUGUGAGUCUUUUACGUGCAUAUUUUUGUUGUAUUUGUAUAGUGUGGUGUCUGUGAGAUUAUUACUUUAAGUGUGAGAUUAUUAUCUUAAGUGGUUAGCUUGACUUUUUGUUUUUGUUUUUGUUGUAUGUGAGGUUUGUAUAAUUGUAUCGUAUUUAGUUUUGUGCAUGUAAAGUUCUAGUUAUGAGUGGUCAGCUUCCGCGAGCACACUCUUGUCCACUUCAAACACAUACCUUCAGAAGAGAUCCUAGCAGAGCCAAUUCCCAGACAUCUCGGACAAUCAUGAAGAUAUAGCACAAGGAAAAACACAUUAGAACACUUGUCCUCUACCUUGAAUGUCAAAGAGUUCAUAUAUGCCAGAGCAUAAGAAAAUAAUUCAAUUCACAGAAUUUUAAAUGUCAUAUAGAAGAUAGAGAACCUGGAUUUGGUGCACAUCCAUGAAGAUUGAACUCCCGAAAAGAAGAGUUGGAUUAAUAUCGUUCUCUGCAGAAUAACAACAUGAUCAUUGUUCCUGCAAAGAAAUUGAAUCGAAGGCCACACUAUUUACAAGUAAUCAAACGAUAUGGUAGAGAAAAUCCGGGUAGCAUAUGAAAACCAUGACUAAUCUUCCCAAUUACAUCAUUGGUUCUAUAUUAUACACUUUUAAAUAACUGGUUUCAAUCGAACAGACAUGUCUGCAGCUAGUACUAGUAAUGAAUUAUCGAAACGAAGAUCAUGGAGUAAGAUAGACAACUGGAUAUGAUUCCCUGCAUAAUAACAACAUGAUCAAUGCUGUUGCAGAUGUAUUGAAGUGAUGACCAAUCAUAUACAGCUAAUAAUCUAACAGGGUAAAGAUAAAAUGUAAGAGUAGAGAAAAAGAUAUGGUAGAUAAUAGUUAAGAGUCUGAUUGUCGAUCUAGUACCUACAGAGAUACUAAACUCAAGCUGCUGCAUUAUUCUGGCUUUGUGCACACCUUUUUUCACCAAGUUUAUGUCAUCGUUUGAUUGUAUGCGCUCCUGCCAAGGUAAAAAUCGAAAAUAAAAACAUUAGAAUCAAACUUUAAACAUGGAGUUUUGAACAGUCUCACAUGAAGCCCGAGUUCAGAGAUACUCAAUAGCGUACAAACAUGAUAGAGAUCAGAGAUCAGUGCUGCAAUGUAUAAGAACCCGCUCCAAGAGAAAGUAACUUACACAUCCAUGGAGAAUGAACUCUUGAAAAGAAGAUCAGGGGGUAAGAUAAGACAGACAAAAGUUCGACAAAAGAAGGUCUGAGAAAUAUAAACCUUAACACCACAGUUCGACAAAGUUUGUUCUCUUAUUUUGGGUAUUGCGUCUAACAAACCAGUCUGCAAUUCUCGUUUUCAAAAAGCAUCUUGAAUUGACGCUUUCUUCUCAAUGUAAUCUGAAAAUUCCACAGUCAAGAAACCGGCCUUCUCUUAACUGUAUAUUCUAAAACACAAUGGUCAAAAGUUUUGUGAUUAUACCUAACAAUCUAUCUCCCUGGUUUUGUCUAUGGCAAUCUGAUGCAACUACCAUAGCUGAAACUUCUCCAUAAUUUUCUCCAAAGAAAGGGAACAAAGCCGCAUAAGCAAUGCCCUUCCCUCUCCACAACCACAAACGAAGCCAAAGCUCGAAGUAACUGAACACCAAAAACCCAUUAGCCCUUUGAUGCUAAACACUGAAACAAUGAGAAGUGGAACCUCAGGCUAACCUCCUCAUCCCCAGAUCCUCCCAGAGGUUUGAUUAUUUGCGUAAUUCCAGAAAGAUCUUCCACUUUAGCCGCUCAGGUUUCUUCCUAUAUUCACUGCGACAGCAAGGGUCAAUAGCUUUUGCAAGUACCUACAGAUAGUAAGUGUCCCAUGGAUUUAUUCACCAGUCACCACCACGUUCUCCUUUACUAUCUCUUUGAUAGUAUCCCAUGGAUUUAUUGUCCUUGAAGAUCAUGAAUCAGAAUCCUCUUUGAUCUUCCUGUCAAAACACAAAACUAUCAUAGAAUUGGUAUCGAUGAAAUAACAAUACCAAUCGACCUCUGGGUUCAUAUAAGCAGGAAGAUUAACACACAAUUCGUAAACAGAUCAAUCUGACGGAACCCUAAAUCCGGGAGUUUGAUUUCUCGUGUAACAAUAUUCGAAUCUAGUAACAGAGAAACACCUAAUUCAUAAAUCAGAUCGGAAUUAUCGGAAUUGCCUAAAUCAACACAAUUUAGAAGAAGGAUUCAAUACCGAGACGAAGAUAUUGAAUGGUUGUUCGUUGAUUGCCAAAUCCGAUCAGGUGAAGCGGGUCGGGUCAGAUUACGUUGUUGAAAUUGAAGAAUUCAGGAGAAAUCGAUACAGAUUAGAAGAAGGAUUUGUUGUACCCAGCGAAGAGAUUUGACUUGAGAUGUUGGUUUGACGAGUCGACUCUUCUUCAUAUGCGAGAGAGAUCAAAUCAAUAAAAGGAAACCAUCUGAAAUUUCAAAAACACGGCCUCGUUCAUAUAGCCGUUAUAUCGGAAAUUACUAAAGUACCCCUAACUCUAUGAGUUCAAAUUACUGAUUAGCGGUUACCGGGAUUAGAGAGUCAAAUCUAAAAAGUUAAAUGUGGUCGGUCAAGUUAUCAAAUUACUCGUUUACCGGACAAAAAAAAGACUUAAAACGGAACUUUUUUUCGGAAAACACUCUCCCAUACUUGUAGUCCGUUACUUUUAGAUUUACUAAAAUACCCCUUCCUAAUUAAAACUACAACUUUCAAAUUACCGGUUAGUAAGUAUCAUUUAUCUUAUAAAGCACAAGUCACUCUACCAAUAAAAUUUUGACAUAUCAGCAAAUUAAUUUAUUUUUAAAAAAAAAUUACAAAAGAAAAAAGAGAUCAUGGGAAAAAAAGGAAAACAAAUAACAAUAUUAUAUAAUUAAACAAAAAACUAAAUCCAGUUAACGUGUGUACAAAUUAUUUUUAAAAAAAAAUUGUUAAAAAUACCCCUUUUUUAAUAUCCCUUUUCAAAAAUGCCCCCUUUAAGAGUCCAUUUUUAAGUUUGCCCUCUUUUAAUUUUUAAUGACCAUUUUACACUUAUUUGAAACAAAAUUAGGUCCACAAAAUACAAAAUAUUUUUUGGCGGGAAAAGUGAUCCCGCAAUUUUCCCCCCAAAACACUUGUAAAAACCUUUAAAAUACCUUGUAAAAUUUUCCCAUAAAAAUUUUUCCCGCCAAAAAAUUUUCCCGCUAAAAAUUUUUUUUUGCGGGAAAAGUGAUUCCGUAAUUUUUUUGGCGAAAUUUUUUUGGCGGAAAAAAUUUACAAGGUAUUUUAAAGGUUUUUACAGAGUAUUUACAAGUGUUUUGUAAGGUUUUACAAUGUAUUUUAAAAGGUUUUACAAGGUACUUAUAAGGUUUUAUAAGGUAUUUAUAACUUGUAAACCUUAUAAAAACUUGUAAACCCUUAUAACUGUAAAACCUUAUAAAAUAGCCUGUAAAUUCUUAUAAUAUCUUAUAAGUACCUUAUAAAUACGUUGUAAAACCUUUUAAAAUACAUUGUAAAACCUUAUAAAUACCCUGUAAAAAACCUUCAAAAUACCUUGUAAAUUUUUCCCGCCAAAAAUUUAACGCCAAAAAAAUUGCGGAAUCACUUUUCCCGCAAAAAAAAAAUUUUCGCGGGAAAAUUUUACACGGGAAAAAUUUUACGGAAAAAAAGGUUUUACAAGUUUUUACAAGUAUUUUGGUGGGAAAAAUUACGGGAUCACUUUACCCGCCAAAAAAUAUUUUGUAUUUUGUGGACCUAAUUUUGUUAUAUUUCCUUAUAUAUUUGUGAUAUCUUUUAUUAAAAGAAGGGUAAUUUAGUCAUUUUGUACAUAAAAAGGGGUAUUUUUAAAAAUGGACAGCUAAAAGGGGUAUUUUUGAAAAAGGAUAUUUAAAAAGGGGCAUUUUUGUGAGUCUCCCAAGAAAAAAGAUGUCAUGGGAAAAAAAGGAAAACAAAUAACAAUAUUAUAUAAUUAAACAAAAAAACUAAAUCCAGUUAACGUGUGUACAAAUUAUUUUAAAAAAAAUUAAAACAAAAGUGAAAUCGUAAGAAAAAGAAAACAAAAAAAUUCUCCUUUAAAAUUUAUGUUUAUUUCAACGAGAUCCAGUAAUCAUUUUACAAAUAACUACAACAUUCUCCUUAGUUUCAUAAAUUUGACUUCAUAAUUUAAAAGAUUAAUUAAUUAAAAAAAAGGGAGACUCACAAAAAUGCCCCUUUUUCAAUACCCCUUUUCAAAAAUGCCCCUUUUGGAUGUCCAUUUUUAAAAAUACCCCUUUUAUGUACAAAAUGACUAAAUUACCCUUCUUUUAAUAAAAGAUAUUAUAAAUAUAUAAGGAAAUAUAACAAAAUUAGGUCCACAAAAUACAAAAUAUUUUUUGGAGGCAAAUGUGUUCCCCCUAUUUCCAGCUCCAAAACGGGACCUUUAAUCUUCUGGGUCAUUGAAAACCGAAGUCACAGAAAUUUGAAUUAAAGGAGCACCUGGAUCAUUGACACCAUUAGACACUGUUCUUUCAUCACCGUCACUGCUGCAAUCUGAAUCAAUAGAAGAUUCAGAGUCAUAAUCAGAGGAGCCAUCGUCAUCCACUGUUUCAGAUGAUUCCCGAGAAUCAUCUAAAACAGCUGCGGCCUCUCUUUGUCUGUCUAAAUCUGACAGCUGGUCUUGUUCUUCAAAAACAAAACUGCAGGCUUUGGAAGAUGUUCGUAUCCAGGGGCUGCAUGAAGAACUAUCUGUGAUAUAGAUCCAGGAAGAUAAAAACUAUUGUGCAGGGCUAAAGGGUGAAAAAGGUGUCAGUUUUCUUCCAAAGACAUGUUCCACAACAUGCGUAGCAAUUAUGUUCUUGUGAUGCAACACUGUCUUCUGNNNNNNNNNNNNNNNNNNNNNNNNNNNNNNNNNNNNNNNNNNNNNNNNNNNNNNNNNNNNNNNNNNNNNNNNNNNNNNNNNNNNNNNNNNNNNNNNNNNNNNNNNNNNNNNNNNNNNNNNNNNNNNNNNNNNNNNNNNNNNNNNNNNNNNNNNNNNNNNNNNNNNNNNNNNNNNNNNNNNNNNNNNNNNNNNNNNNNNNNNNNNNNNNNNNNNNNNNNNNNNNNNNNNNNNNNNNNNNNNNNNNNNNNNNNNNNNNNNNNNNNNNNNNNNNNNNNNNNNNNNNNNNNNNNNNNNNNNNNNNNNNNNNNNNNNNNNNNNNNNNNNNNNNNNNNNNNNNNNNNNNNNNNNNNNNNNNNNNNNNNNNNNNNNNNNNNNNNNNNNNNNNNNNNNNNNNNNNNNNNNNNNNNNNNNNNNNNNNNNNNNNNNNNNNNNNNNNNNNNNNNNNNNNNNNNNNNNUCAUUCAGUUUCUUCCAUGUUCCAACUAUCCAUUUCCCCACAUUUCCAUGAUCUUUUCACUCUAUGAAACUAACCACUUUAAUUUCUCCACGGUUUUCUUCCUCCAUUAACCAAUCUCAUCUCCUAUAUAUAGCAUUUGUCAGUAGAUAUCUGCUCUUAUUUAAAAUAAUUUUCUCAUGUUGUCGUUUCACCGAAAUUUGAAAGAAGGCAUAGGAACGCCAUCAUCCUUUUGUUCUCAUUCAAUGUAAUUUUUUUAAGAAAAAUUCCUAAAAAUAGCCCUAAAACAAGUUUUAUUGACAAUAAUAGCACACACUCCAUAAACUUCCAAAAAUAGCACUAGUUAGCUUACUAUUAGUGUUUUUGUUCUAAAAAUUUUAUCACUAGUUUAUUUUUUAAUAAUACCACAAUUUUUAUAUAAAAGCUAUUCAACAAAAUAAAUUAGAAAUAAAUUUAAAAUAUUAUAUUUGGGUUCUAAUUUCCAAUUUAGGGUAUAUAUUUCCAUCAUUUAAAAGAGAUUUUGAUUCAUUUUAAUAUUAGUUUAUGGUAUUAUAUUUGGGUUCCCUAUUUCCAAUUUAGGGUAUAUAUUUCCAACAUUUAAAAGAGAUUUUUUUCUUUUAAUAUUAGUUUGUGGUAUUAUAUUUGGGUUCCCUAUUUCCAAAUUAGGGUAUAUAUUUCCACUAUUUAAAAACAAUUUUGAUUCAAUUUAAUAUUAGAUUAGUGUUUGCUCUCUUUUUUCUUUUAUAUCUUAUAUUUUCAUUAAGUUUAAUUGAAGUUUAUGGUGCUAUUUGUGAAACUUUUCAAAUGAGGUGCUAUUUUUGGAAAAAAAACAACUUUUUUGGGGCUAUUUGUGUCAAUCUCCCUUUUUUUAAUCUUCCUCUUAUAUAGUCAUUAUAAAAUAUCUGUGAUUGUGCUAUGGCUUCAUUUCGAAGGACUGGAUUGUCUGGAUCUCUCACGUGUAUAGGGAAGCUAAUCGUCUUGCCGACGAAUUAGCUAACUAUGCAUUUUCUUUGCCGUUAGGUUUUCAUAGUUUUAAUCUUAGGCCUGAUUUUGCUACUUUGAUUAUUUUUGAGGAUGCUAGUGGUGCUACACGCACACGAAACGUUCCGAUGUAAUUUUUUCCUUUUAAUUUUUAAUAAUAUGGAAGACUAGUCUCCCUCAUUCUACAAAAAAAAUAUAUAUAUAUAUAUAUAUAUAUAUAUCUGUGAUUCUUACUGCAUAUUGUCUAUCGCCUCCAACCAUAUAAGCUCCUCUGUAAGUUUCUACGUUUGUUUGAAACAAUUUACAUUCAAUCUUUGCUUUUAUUCUGCUAUCAAAGUAAUAUUCUGUUUGAUUUUCUAUAGGUUGUCGAGAACAAUUUCAACGCAUUAAAAAUUCACAAACCAGAGUUUUUCAUCAAAGAUGGAGUUUAAGAGUUUUUGUUGUUUUACGUUGUGCGGGGUCUUUCGGAUAUUGAGUAAGCUAAAGUUUUUUUUUUUUUUUUUUUUUUUUUUUUUUUGCUAACGAGUAAGCUAAGUUUAAGAUAUAUUUCUUCUCACACACAUUUUGUAUUAUUUGAAUACAUUAAUGUCAAAGUCAUGAUUGGGAAAACAUUUGUUCAUUGUACGUUGCAAACUAGAAGUAUUUUUUUUGUUGCGUUAUCAAUUAGCGUUAGUAUAUGUUAAACUGAAAAUGUUAACUCUUUUUUAGUUUAGUAUUUAAGUGAUUCUACGUACGGGUAUAAAACAAUUUGCCAUUAAUGUUUGGUAUGACAUAAUUUUUAGAUAUUCUGUAUAAUUCAAGUUAUAAGGUUUAUCAAUGUUGAAAAGCUAUUUAUUAUUGAAAACUAGGUUGUUUAGCCGCGAUACUCGCGGCUUGUUGCAUAAUUCUUAUGUUUUGUGUAAACAAUAAAAAAAAUUUUAGAAAAUAUAAAAAUAAGACAAAAUUACAUAUUAUACAGUAUUUUCAAUAAAAACAUUGGUAUCACAUAUAUUUUACAUUUUUAACAACAAUCCUAAAAGAUAACUUUCUCUCUUUUUCAUAUUUCACACCAUUUAAGUUAUAGUAAUAGGUUUUUAAUUUUUUUUACUACUAAUUCGGAUUACCAAUUAUAUAACUGUUUUUAACUACAACAUUUUAAAAAUAUAUAUACUGAUAUUUAUAAAAUUAUAUGUUAGAUCACAAAACUAAAUAUAAUUACUAUGAUUAUAUUACAAUAAACGUAAGAAAAAGAGGUUUCUUCAUACACAAUUUAUUUCAUUAAAAGGUCACAUAAUUUUAGAAAAUAUAUACAUGAAUAUGUAAAGAAAUAAUCAAAAAUCAUAGUAGGGAAUAAGAAUGCUAUCAUUUCAAAGAUAUAUUUAAAAUAAUUUCCAUAAUUUUGUUUCAAUAUAAGUAUAAUUAGAACAAAUUUAAAAGGUUCUUACGAUUUGAUAUCUUGCAUUUGCUCAUAUUUUAGUAAAUACAUGUUAUAUAAUACAAAAUAAAUUGUUGAUAUAACUCACAGAUAAUUUGUUUGUUUAUUGAUAUAAACUCCCACACAAUAGUUUAAAUUCAUAUUAUUUUGUAAGUGACAAGCUAAAUUUAUUUUCAUAUAAAAUCAUAUGAACUUCAAUCUAAAGAUUUUAUUUAAAAAAACCCAAGUAUAGAAGUUUUUUUUUUUAAUCUAUUUUUUUUUUGUAAUUCCACUCAUCAAUUAAAAUUCUGUGCUAGAUUUUAUACUAAUGGUUUCAUGUUUAUAGGAUUUAAUAAAACGUUUUUUUGUUUUAAUUAUAUAUAUAUAUAUAUAUAUAUAUAUAUAUAUUUUUAUUUCACUCUAUUUUAAGUAUAAUAAUAUUAAUAUAAUUAUCCAUUGGAUCACAAAAAACUAAAUAUAAUUAUACAUACAUUAAAAAUGAAUUACAAAAAUUUAUUCAAGAUAAAAAAAAGUAAGAAACGAAUAUUUGAUAAAUGUAUUAGAAUAAUUUAUUUCAUUAUAUAUUGCAUAACUAAAAACAAUACAUGAAUAUGUUAGAAAAUAAUCAAAUAUCUAAAGUAAAUAACGGAGAUGAAUCUUUUCAACUUCAUUCCCUUGUUGUGCGAUAAUUAGAAUUGAUAUUUUUAACUUUUCAUCACCAAUGAACCUGAAAUUUUUGCUAUAGCCAUCAAAUUUUUUAUUUUAUAUAUGUUAAUUUAAAAUUAAAAAUAUGAAAAUUAAAGAAGAAAUAUGUAUAAUCUAGUAUGGUGUUAUGAAAAAAAAAAGAAAAAAAAAGAUAGAAUCAAAUUCUUACAAUGAUGUUUUCAUUGAUUUCAACCCAUAUAACAAAACAAAAUAGAUACAUGAAUAUAGUAGAAGAGGAUGAGAGAAUAAUUACUUAUAAGAUGAUAAUCUAAAAUAGACAAUGAAGAUGAAUCUUUAAAAAAAAGUUAAAAAAACUAAUGUAAAUAUUAAAAUUUAGAAUUAAGCUUUUACAAUGAUAUUUAAUUUGAGUUUUUAACCCAUGCAACAACAACCACAACAAAAAAAAAAACACACACAAACAAUAAUGAAAAAAAGAUUUGAGAUCUAGUGGAAGAGGAUGAGAGAAUGAGAGAAUGAGAAAAUGGGAAAAUGAAUAUUUAUAGGAUGAGAAGUGAUGGGAGUUACAAUUUAAAAAAUGAAUAUGAGGGUUACAAUUCUAAUUGAUUGUGUGUUGAAUAAAAUUAAUUAUUCUAAUUGAUUGUGUGUUGAAUAAAAUUAAUUAAAAAAUAUAGGUAAUGCAUAAUUUAUAUGAUUUCAGUUUUAUAUUGAAGUGAGUUAAACGUAUAUAUUAAUUUUUUUGUGGUUUAAUUGAAAAUAACUUUUUAAAAAAUUACAUCGUCAAGUGGACCAAUAAGAAGAGAGUGUAAAAAAUGAAUAUGGGGGUUACAAUUCUAAUUGAUUGUGUGUUGAAUAAAAUUAAUUAUUCUAAUUGAUUGUGUGUUUAAUAAAAUUAAUUAAAAAAUAUAGUUAAUGUAUAAUUUAUAUGAUUUCAGUUUUAUAUUGAAGUGAGUUAAAUGUAUAUAUUAAUUUUUUUAUUUGUGGUUUAAUUGAAAAUAACUUUUAAAAAAAUUACAUUGCCAAGUGGACCAAUAAGAAGAGAGUGAAACCUUACUUUUAUAUGUAUGAUUGUAUCUUGAAAUUUUUUUUGUAUAUAUUUUAUAUUUUCUUCUUCCAUUUUAUUUGUGUUCUCCUUCUAACUCUUUACUCUCAUUUUAAUUAACCAACAAUCACACUAACUUUUUCAAAAAAAAAGAAAUAUAUAUAUUUAUUAAAUUAAUUUUGUCCCGUACGUAGUACGGGCUUAAUACUAGUAUGUGUAUAUGACUCGAGCAACACCGGUUAAAAGGUGUUUCUUCCCGUUUUCAUCUUCAAUUCGGUUUAAGAUAAUUUUCAUUUCGUUAUCUUCUCAUAACAUCUAUUUAGCUGCGCGGCUUAAGUGAAAUCGUGAACAAAAAAUAUGUUUUGCACAUUCAAACUAACUUUCUCCUUUGGGAUUUUUUUACACUGAAAAAAAACCCCUAAUUUCAGAAAUGAAGAAGAAAGUUUGAAUGUGCAAAACAUUCUUCAUUUAACCGUGAUUUCGAUUCACGCUGUUGACAGAGCUCAAUAAUCAUAUAUUCCCUUAAUCCACUUCACUAAACAAAAGACAGGAUCCAUGAUAAUGUAACUGUAUUUUCUCAGACAUCUUUUGAAUAUGCUACAAGACCACCAACAGUAUACUACAUGAAAAUGUUGUGUAACCAAAUGCGACAAAGAUAUCGUACACAAGUGGAAAGCUUUGUAGAUAAAAAGAAAAUUCAUACACAGAUUACACGAGAUUCGGAAAUCUCAGUAGCAAAACUAUACCAGCAAAUUCAAGGCAGAAAGAAGGAAAAAAAUAUGAUCAGGAGAGGUGAGAGAGAUAAACUCAGGGCGAAGAAAUUCAGAAUCCAACGAACAUAGGAAACAAAAACAUAUGGAAGAGAUUAGUGAAACAUACAAAUCCCGGGAAACAACCUUGAACUUGCAUCAACUCAUGUUUGCAACCUAGCAGGUAAAUGACAAAGAACUUCAGUCAUGUUCAUGAAGUUUAGACACAACAGCUACAGCUAUACAUAUCUAUAUCCACAUGUAAUAUGAGAACAUAAUGACUGUAUUUAGAAAAAACCAAUAGAAAAGCAACAUGAAAAGCUGAUCGACCUCAAGGAUGUCUUAAGAAAGCAUUUCCAAAAAGCUUUUGUCCAAUCUCCCGUCAUGCAACAUAUUAGUGACCAAGCCAAUGGUUGAAGCAUCUCCAGCAAACCUGCAACUCCUCAUCGCUUUGUCACCAUCUCUAAGUUGAGCCCUGAUCAGCGUAUUAUAUGUACAAUCAUUUGGGAGAAUCCCGUCUUCUUUCAUUUUUCUGAACAAGGCAUAUGCUUCCUGCAUUAAGCCUUUCCUACAGAAUCCUGAGAUCAUUGUAGUGUAGGUUACAACAUCAGGCUUCACUCCUUUAAGGCUGAGGCUACAAAAUAAAUUCCACCCAUCUUCCACUUUCCCAGUCUUGCACAUCCCUUCAAUCAUAAUAUUAUAUGUGAAACUAUCAAGUUCCAUUUUACUCUUUUGCAUAUACCCGAAUACCACCAAUGCUUUCUCUAGCUUCCCAUUAUUACAGAGUCCAUCUAACAGAGAGUUGUAUGUCAUGAGAUUGGGAGGCACACCAUCAGAAACCAUCACUUUGAAUAGUUCUUGAGCCAUAUCACAAUCUCCAGCUUGAAAUAACCCCUGGAUAAGAGUGGUGUAAGUGACUGUAUCGCCAACCAAUCCUCUCAGUGACAUCUCACGGAAGAGUUCCAUACCUUCCUCUACUCUCUUAGCCUUACAAAAUCCCUUUAUAAGUGUAUUAUAAGUCACUACAUCUGGGAAACAGCCCUUGGUAACCAUAAACUCAAACAUCUGCUUGGCCUCGUCUAGACGAUCGUGCAUACAAAACCCGUUGAUCAAUGAAUUGUAAGUGACAAUACUAGGAGCUAUCGACCUUCUGAUCAUCUCCUUGUACAAGUUUUCAGCCUCUAAAGGCUUCCCCUCUUUCGCAAACGCAUCGAUCAAUGUGCUGAAGGUGACUACAUCGGGGUUGAUUUUCUUCUCAAUCAUAUCACUUAGGAGUCGAGAGGCAUCACUCCAUCUUCCGUAAUUACAAAGGCAACUUAUGAGGGAGCUGUAGGUAACAACAUCUGGUCUAAUUCCUUUGUUCUCCAUUUCAUUGAAUAGGUUGCGUGCAUCAUUCACAUGUUUGUAUUUGCAGAGACCAUCGAUAACUGUGUUGUAGAUUACAACAUUUGGCUCUAUUUUUCCUUUCUCCAUCUUCUUCAACAAACUCAAAGCCAAAUCAAUAUCACCUCUCUUACAUAAUCCAUUAACUACCACACCAUAAGUAACCAAAUCUGGUUGACAUCCUUUCAGAGCCAUCCGUUCAACUAAAGCCACAGCUUCGGAAGCUUUGUUGUGGAGAAAAAGCCCAUGAAUCAAAGUUGUAAAUGUAACGGUAUUAGGUUGAUAUCCCAUUUCGACCAUUUGAUCAACCAAAGCUACAGCCUCGGAUAUCCUCUUACCGUGGCAGUACCCAUUGAGCAGCGAAGAAAGCGUAACAAUGCUGGGCUCAUAGCCGAGUUUCAUCAUCUUCCCAAGAACAGCUAAAGCAAGAGAGAGUUGAGAGCAUCGACAGAAACAGUUAACGAAAAUGCUGUAUGUAAAGAGAUCAUGUGAAAUCCCCAAAUCUUGCAUCUGCUCGCCGAGAGAGAUGACAACAUCGAACUUCUUCAUCUUAGCAAUGGCACUCAACAAUUUGCUGAACUCAAUGAUGGAAGGAAAGGGACGAGACUUGACCAUUUCACUGAACAAAUCAACAGCAUCGUCUAACCUAAUAUCACUCAGCCCAUUUCUGAGUAUCUCUCUGUAAUCAUAACUACUCUUACCAUCAAAAGCUCUUCUCUGGCAAAGGGAAAAAGAGGGAGGAAAAGUUGCAGCAUUUCCUCUCACCAGAAGACUCCGAUGAACAAAUCUCUUCCCUGUAGAUGAUAUCUUUGCAAGCAUUCUCUCGAUUUGGCUUCCCAAUUUCUCUGUAAAAUUCAACAAAACCCUAAACGAAACACUGAGACUGUGAAAGAAUCUCGAGCUCUGCAAAUAUGGAAGAUGAAGAGAGAAGAAGAAGCGUAGGAGGAGGACUUGGGGAUUUUUUUUAAUUACGUGUCCGGCUGAUUUAAUUAACCAAUACUGUUUAUCCAACCCAAAUUAAAAUUGGAACCGGAAUAAAGUAUGGUUUAGGUUGAUUUAACAAAAUGUUAGAUACGGUUAAGCUUAAAAGUGUGUUAGAUCCGGUUUGUUUUUUUUUCUAUUUCCUUCGUGGAUAAUUUCUCUUUUUUUUUGGUUGAUAAUUAUAUCAUCUAUAGAUUUUAGGUUUUUGGUUACUAAAAUCCCUGACUUUCAUAUUUAGGUGAGGAUAAGAAAGAAAAACAAUCUUUAAUCUUGGCACAGUAAAUACUGUAUUAUUUUGUCAAAUCAAAACAAAACCUAUCCUUUCUAUUUAUUUUGGUCAAAACAUGUCUCCAAAGUCAUUGUUGUGUCAUUUGUUGUCGUUCUCUCACUUAUAUAUAAGUACCAAUCUCUAGGUGUGAUUGUUAGUUUUUUAGCGUAAUAUUGUUAAGAGUGAAGUAGAGGAAAGUGAAAAACAUAAAUCAGAGUAAACUUUUACUCUGCACACUUCCAACCAUGAAACUUUUGAUUUAUCUAUAAGGUUUCCAAUAGUCAUCAUCACCACAAAUAUGGCUAAUUUUUUUGCUCUCCAUUUUUUUUUUGAGGGAUUAAUUGUUUUGUUCAUUUUCCGUUUGGAGGGGAAAAAAAUAUGGAUCGAAUUCAGAACACUCCACAUUAUAUAGGUCAGGUCACACUCCACUAAUAUCUAAUCAGUGAAAUCAUCUAUCAAGUGAUCUGAAUGAUCAUAUGAGCAAAUAAUGUGAUAUGGAGACUAGAAAUUUUCUAAUAAACGUUUCCAAUCUCUUUUAUAUUGGGAUUUGAUUAACUUGUACCGUAUAAAUUGAGAACUUUUAGCAUGGAAGUUAAGCAGCAUCGAGGUCUUUGUUACCUCGAAAUAACGGAGUAGGAGAUAGCCCAGUCUCCAUACAUUUAUUUUGAAGAAGCAAUAUAUAACAUGUAUUUAUUAAUGUAUGUAUAUAUAGUUGAAUAGUAAAAUAAAAAUUACUAAAAUCUGAAAAAGAAAAAAACUAAAUUCUAGAAACCUUUAAAAUUUCUACCAAUAAUAUUUCUAUUAGAAAUGUGUAUUUCAAAAAAAUACUCCGCGGCAUAGCGCAGAUCUUGGUCUUGGUCUAGUAAUGUUUAAAAACUUUGAACUUUGAAGAACAGAAGAAGAUGCAAAUUUUCAGUGCCGUUGGAUCAUUUUUUUGUAUUUGACGGUUGAGAUUUUCACCUAAUCAUUUCCGGUUUCAAUAGCCGACCGGUCACUCCGUAUUCUCUGGUUCGGUUUAGUUUUAUAAUUUUUGGUUUCACACUGCAGCUACUAAUUCUACUGUAUGCAAAAACCAAGAAUACGGAGAAAAAAAAACAUUUAACCAAGAAUACAGACUGACUAUGAACAUUUUUAGGAGUUAACAUUUCCUUUUUCUUCUCACGAAAGAUGAAAAGAGUUGUAAAACAUCGCAUAUCAUAUCACCACUGAACCUCAUCUUAUUAUAAACCAGAACCGUACCGGCCAAGAAUCGGUAGAGAAGGAUGCACUUCCUAUCAUCAUACACACUAAACCGACACAUCCUUAUUGAUCUCUCAAAAUUGAUGUCCACUAUGCAAAAACCUAAGAGCUUUGUUCCCUAAACUUAGCGUCUGGCUGCACAAACAUACAAGUACUGUCCACGUCCAGUACAUGAAUUAUGAAAUUUAGUGCAGAACACAACAAAUUAAUCAUAUGUACAAUGAUUUGGCAACAACCAAAGACAAAAGCCACGAUUCUAUAGAGUGUUUCAAUACAAUUCUGUUUUAUUUAGCGAACCCUAUCAUCUUCUUUUUCACAAACAUUAUCAUUUUCAAAGUGAAUUUUCUGCUUUUCAGAUAAUAUUUUCUUGUGUAGUAGAAACUAUCAAUAUGAAAAUUAAUCAAACAUAUUCAUGAACAUAUAAGGACCGCACUAGAAAGUAAUUACCAGAAAAGCAACAUAAACGGCUUAUCAACCUCAAGGAUGUCUUUAAGAAAGCAUUUCCAAAAAGCUUUUGUCUAAUCUCCCAUCAUGCAACAUAUUAGCGACCAAGCCAAUGGUUGAAGCAUCUCCAGCAAACUCGCAACUCCUCAUUUCUCUGAUGAGUUCAGAUGAUGCUGCUUUGUCACCAUCUCUAAGAUGCGCUCUAAUAAGCGUAUUAUAAGUACCACUAUCUGGAAGAGGCCCAUCUUCUUUCAUUUUUUUUAGCAACGCAUAAGCUUCCUGGUUUAAACCUUUCCUACACAAGCCUGAGAUCAUUGUAUUGUAUGUUACAACAUUAGGCUUCACUCCUUUAAGGCUGAGGCUACAAAAUAGAUCCCACCCAUCUUCCACCUUCCCAUCCUUGCACAUCCCUUCAAUCAUAAUAUUAUAUGUGAAUAUGUCAAGUUCCAUUACACUCUUCUGCAAACACUCGAAUACCACCAAUGCUUUCUCUAGCCUCCCGUUAUUACAAAGUCCAUCUAACAAAAUGUUAUAAGUCCAAAGAUCAGGAGAGACACCAAAAGAAUCCAUUUGAUUAAAAGUUUCUUGAGCCAUAUCACAAUCUCCAGCUUGAAAUAACCCUUGGAUAAGAGUGUUGUAAGUGACUGUAUCGCCAACCAAUCCUCUCUGUGACAUCUCGUGGAAGAGUUCCAUACCUUCCUCUACUCUCUUAGCCUUACAAAAUCCCUUUAUGAGCGUAUUAUAAGUCACUACAUUUGGGAAACAGCCCUUGCUAACCAUAAACUCAAACAUCUGCUUGGCCUCGUCUAGACGAUCGUGCAUACAAAACCCGUUGAUCAAUGAAUUGUAAGUGACAAUAUCAGGAUCUAUAGACCUUUUGAUCAUCUCCUUGUACAAUUUCUCAGCCUCUAAAAGCUUCCCCUCCUUCACAAACGCAUCGAUCAAUGCGUUGAAAGUGACUACAUUUGGAUUGAUUUUCCUCUCAAUCAUAUCACUCAGUAGUCGAGAGGCAUCACUCCAUCUUCCGUAAUUACAAAGGCAACUUAUGAGGGAGCUGUAGGUAACAACAUCUGGUCUAAUUCCUUUGUUCUCCAUUUCAUUGAAUAGGUUGCGUGCAUCAUUCACAUGUUUGUAUUUGCAGAGACCAUCGAUAACUGUGUUGUAGAUUACAACAUUUGGCUCUAUUUUUCCUUUCUCCAUCUUCUUCAACAAACUCAAAGCCAAAUCAAUAUCACCUCUCUUACAUAAUCCAUUUACUACAACACCAUAUGUAACCAGAUUUGGUUGACAGCCUUUCACAGCCAUCCGAUCAACUAGCGCCACUGCUUCUGAAGCUUUGUUGUGGAGAAAAAGCCCAUGAAUCAACGUGUUAAAUGUAACAGUAUUAGGUUGAUAUCCCAUUUCGACCAUUUGAUCAACCAAAGCUACAGCCUCGGAUAUCCUCUUACCGUGGCAGUACCCAUUGAGCAGCGAAGAAAGCGUAACAAUGCUGGGCUCAUAGCCGAGUUUCAUCAUCUUCCCAAGAACAGCUAAAGCAAGAGAGAUUUGAGAGCGUCGACAGAAACAGUUGAUCAAAAUAUUGUAUGAGUAGAGAUCAUAUGAAAUCCCCAGAUUUUGCAUCCGCUCGCCGAGAGAGAUGACAACAUCGAACUUCUUCAUCUUAGCAAUGGCACUCAACAAUUUGCUGAACUCAAUGAUGGAAGGAAAGGGACGAGACUUGACCAUUUCACUGAACAAAUCAACAGCAUCGUCUAACCUAAUAUCACUCAGCCCAUUUCUGAGUAUCUCUCUGUAAUCAUAACUACUCUUACCAUCAAAAGCUCUUCUCUGGCAAAGGGAAAAAGAGGGAGGAAAAGUUGCAGCAUUACCUCUCACCAGAAGACUCCGAUGAACAAAUCUCUUCCCUGUAGAUGAUAUCUUUGCAAGCAUUCUCUCAAUUUGGCUUCCCAAUUUCUCUGUAAAAUUCAACAAAACCCUAAACGAAACACUGAGACUGUGAAAGAAUCUCGAGCUCUGCAAAUAUGGAAGAUGGAGAGAGGAGAAGAAGCGUAAGAGGACUUGGGGAUUUUUGUUAACGGAACAGAUGUGGUUCGUGAAGAGCUUACGUGUCCGGUUUAUUUAGUAAACCAAAACUGUUAUCCAACCCAAAUUAAAUUAAAACUGGAAGCGGAAUAAAGUAUGGUUUAGGAUGGUUUAACAAAAUGUUAGAUCCGGUUAAGCAUAAAAGAAAAGAAAUCAGAAAAUUUCUUCAUCUCCGAUUUUAAAAUUUAACCUCGAUUCCUUCCAGCAAUAAAGCCUUGAAUGGUUACUAGUUUUUAAGUGGUUUUUGGUUUUUAUUUAUGAAAAAAUCUAAUUUUUCACCAUUCAAGAUUUUAAAAAAUUAGAUUCCCUAUAAUUUAGGGAAACUAGUUUUUAAGUGGUUUCUCUAAAUUUCAAAGAGAAACUAAAAACCAUAAUUUUGAGGUUUUUGUGGAAAACUUCUUUUUUCAACGUGAUUAUGUUUCAUUUUUGAUUUUUUUAAUUUUUCAUUUAUUAAUUUUUAUAUUUAUAACAAAAACCAAAAACCAAAAAUUUAAAAACCAUAAUCCAGAAACCAAAAUCUAAAAACCAAAAUCCACUUAAUGACUGUAUUUAGAAGUAACCAAUAGAAAAGCAACAUGAAAAGCUGAUCGACCUCAAGGAUGUCUUAAGAAAGCAUUUCCAAAAAGCUUUUGUCCAAUCUCCCGUCAUGCAACAUAUUAGUGACCAAGCCAAUGGUUGAAGCAUCUCCAGCAAACCUGCAACUCCUCAUCUCUUUGAUGAGUUCCGCUGAUGUAGCUUUGUCACCAUCUCUAAGUUGAGCCCUGAUCAGCGUAUUAUAUGUACAAUCAUUUGGGAGAAUCCCGUCUUCUUUCAUUUUUCUGAACAAGGCAUAUGCUUCCUGCAUUAAGCCUUUCCUACAGAAUCCUGAGAUCAUUGUAGUGUAGGUUACAACAUCAGGCUUCACUCCUUUAAGGCUGAGGCUACAAAAUAAAUUCCACCCAUCUUCCACUUUCCCAGCCUUGCACAUCCCUUCAAUCAUAAUAUUAUAUGUGAAACUAUCAAGUUCCAUUUUACUCUUUUGCAUAUACCCGAAUACCACCAAUGUUUUCUCUAGCUUCCCAUUAUUACAGAGUCCAUCUAACAGAGAGUUGUAUGUCAUGAGAUUGGGAGGCACACCAUCAGAAACCAUCUCUUUGAAUAGUUCUUGAGCCAUAUCACAAUCUCCAGCUUGAAAUAACCCCUGGAUAAGAGUGGUGUAAGUGACUGUAUCGCCAACCAAUCCUCUCUGUGACAUCUCGCGGAAGAGUUCCAUACCUUCCUCUACUCUCUUAGCCUUACAAAAUCCCUUUAUAAGCGUAUUAUAAGUCACUACAUUUGGGAAACAGCCCUUGCUAACCAUAAACUCAAACAUCUGCUUGGCCUCGUCUAGACGAUCGUGCAUACAAAACCCGUUGAUCAAAGAACUGUAAGUGAAGAUAUCAGGAUCUAUAGACCUUUUUCUCAUCUCCUCGUACAAUUUCUCAGCCUCUAUAAGUUUUCCCUCCUUCGCAAAUGCAUCAAUCAAUGCAUUGAAAGUGACUACAUUUGGAUUGAUCUUCCUCUUAAUCAUAUCACUAAGUAAUCGGGAGGCAUCGCUCCAUCUUCCGUAAUUACAAAGGCAACUAAUGAGGGAGUUGUAGGUAACAACAUCUGGUUUGAUUCCUUUGUUCUCCAUUUCACUGAAUAGGUUGCGUGCAUCAUUCACAUGUUUGUAUUUGCAAAGAGCAUCGAUGACUGUGCUGUAGAUUACAACAUCUGGCUCUAUUUUUUCUUUCUCCAUCUUUUU
rnacentral:lncRNA from 1 species